UUGCAUCAGUAAUUUUCCUAUGGCCAUGGGGCACUUAGGUUUGCAUGUAGCUCUUCUAGUGUGUUACACUGAGUAAGUGACGGCAAUAAGAGUAAUUGUUCUUCAGAUUCCUUCAUGUUGAUGGCCUCCCUCGGUUGGGAGUCGACGAGACGAGGAAUGGUGUCGAUCUUGAGCAUCUGGCUCGGUGUGAUUCCGUUUAUGCACGGUCGCCGCAUCCUGUGGAAGGGAUGUCGCAGCCGCAUAUUUUUCUUAUCCAAUUUCAUAUUCGUCGAUGAAGCUGAGCCAAAUACGGCUCUGUCGAGGAACUUGUGUGCUCUAUGCCCUCCCCCUUAUGUUUGGCCAGAGUUGGGAUCAUCAUGUGGAUCUUCUCCAUGUCGACUUCUCUAGGACGGCAUGAUCGUUCGCGUCUGGUCUACAUCAAUGACUACAUUUGCAUGGCUUCUAUAAGAUUGUGGGUUUCAACAAGGUUAGUGUCGAUAAGACGGAAGCCUAGAGGUGGCAACUAUCGUUGCUCACUGUGCGCCAUCGAGGGAUGUUGAAGGACAUGCAUGUACUUUUUCAAGAUA
rnacentral:lncRNA from 1 species